AAGGAAAUCUCAGUAGCACUACAUGAAUUAACAACCACAUUCUCUAGGUCUUUGAAGAGACCUCUGUAAUGUGUGUGGGGGUGAGUAUAAAAUCAAGGAAGAAAAAGAGUGGUUCUUUAAAGAAGAGCACUGGAUGAGUUAAAAAGAGAAACCAAGAGUGAAGAAGGUUAAGUGACGAUGAAGAAAAGAAGGAAAGUAAUUAGAGUUCAGUCAGCUAAAGAUACAAUUUAAAGACUUCUCGUAAAGGAGCCAAGGUAGGAAUGAAAAAAAAAAAUAGAUUGCGAGGUUUCUAAGGGCUGCAGAAGCUUUAGGGCAAAUCAAAGAACUGUUACCAAUUCAAUAGAAUUUUAUAUUAUUUUAGGAGAUCGACUAACAGUCCAUUAGCUGUAAAGCCCAGGAUCAAGAAGAGAGCUGAAACAGAGGAAGAAUUAUGGAAGCCUCAUGUAUUUAAGGAUUUUGAUCUAGCAACAUGUUGAUGCUAGAAGGGUCCCAGAGAUAAUCUCCUAUGACCUCCUCACUUUACAGCUGAGGAAACUGAGGCCAGAAGAAUGGUGUUAAUUCCACAUGUGACUGAAUCUACUGCAGAGCAGGAUUUGAUGGGUUUGAGAAACAUCACAGAAUUUAAACACGGGAAACCAAUAUAAAAACCCUCUCAUGCAAAGAAACAGUGCGGCUGACUGUACAUUGUUUCUAUUCAUGGCUCGCUAGUUUUACAUUUUCUGAUCAGUUACUGCCACUGAGACCAAGAAACCAGCUUCUUCAAGAGCAUCCAUAGACUGUCUGAAGGCCUUGCAUUAUUGAUUUUCUGCUCAUAGAUUCCAGUUGCUGUCAAUCAUGGGCCAGAUAUACAAGAUGGCAGUUAAUAAGCAAAAGGACGGAGCUCCCAUGAAGACAACAAAAUAAUUCAGGAGAUCUGACUGAAACAGAAAAUGCUAAAAUCCUCAAGAGAAAAGAAAUCAGAUAAGCCUUCCUGGAAAGAAAAGUCCAUGGUCAAACAAAAUGACAUGUUAUCUUUGUAAGGGAGUAUAUUCCUGCCAGGAGAGUGAAGGACCGCCCAGACCUGAAGUUGAUGAACUUGAGAUGAAUUGCAAGGAAAGCCAGUGGCUGCAUGAGAUUAAG
rnacentral:lncRNA from 1 species